GUCUCGGCAGGCUCUUCGGGAAGGGGAAGAAGGAGAAAGGGCCAACCCCUGAAGAAGCAAUACAGAAACUGAAGGAGACAGAGAAGAUACUGAUCAAGAAACAGGAAUUUUUGGAGCAGAAGAUUCAACAGGAGCUACAAACAGCCAAGAAGUAUGGGACCAAGAAUAAGAGAGUUUCAGCGUGAGGCCAUUGAGAAUGCCACUACCAAUGCAGAAGUCCUUCGUACCAUGGAGCUUGCUGCCCAAAGCAUGAAGAAGGCCUACCAGGACAUGUGGGGACAUUGACAAGGUAGAUGAACUGAUGACUGACAUCACGGAACAACAGGAGGUGGCCCAGCAGAUCUCAGAUGCCAUUUCUCGGCCUAUGGGC
rnacentral:lncRNA from 1 species